rnacentral:rRNA from 1 species
UACGAAGGGGGCUAGCGUUGCUCGGAAUGACUGGGCGUAAAGGGCGCGUAGGCGGUUUGUACAGUCAGGUGUGAAAUUCCCGGGCUCAACCUGGGGGCUGCACUUGAUACGUAUGGACUGGAGUGGGGAAGAGGGUCGUGGAAUUCCCAGUGUAGAGGUGAAAUUCGUAGAUAUUGGGAAGAACACCGGUGGCGAAGGCGGCGACCUGGUCCUUGACUGACGCUGAGGCACGAAGGCCAGGGGAGCAAACGGG